AAUGAUAAAAUAAAAUCUCUGAAGUCGCAAGGCCCACCGGAUAAGGCGACUCUUGGUUUUUGUGGAAGAAAUUACCCAUUGUAAGGCUGAGUGGUCUGUGAUGACGGUGAACAAUUUGUGCUCUAGGUAGUGCUGCCAUUUUUCCAGGGCCCAAAUUACAGCCAAACACUCUUUUUCGGUGGCUGUAUAAUUGGUCUCCGCUUUGUUCAGGGUUCUGCUGGCAUAAGCAAUAACUUGUUCUAAACCCUUUUCCUUGCGCUGGGUCAGCACAGCACCCAAACCAGUGUCACUGGCAUCAGUGUAAACAGUAAAAGGCAAUUGAAGGUCCGGAUGGCCAAGAAUGGGAGGAGAGUGCAUUGAUGGGUUCAGCGAUCCUGGAGAAGUUUGGUACAAACCGGUGGUACCACCCGGCUAACCCCAGGAAGCGCUGGACCUCCUUGAUGUUGGUGGGCACAGGGUAUUCCCGUAUAGCCUCCACUUUACUUGGGUCUGCAGCUAUGCCUUGGACGUUGACAAUGUGUCCCAGAAAGGUUAUUUCUUUAAGACAGAACUUGCUUUUUUUUAAAUUAAUGGUGAGGCCAGCCAUUUGCAGUUUAUGGAGGACAGCCUGGAGGUCGGAGAAGUGCUGGGCUACAGAUGGUGAGUAAAUAAUUAUGUCGUCAAUGUAGACAAAGCAGAUGUUUCCACGCAAUUCUCCUAGAACAGUCUCCAUUAGUCUUUGGAAGGUUGCUGGGGCAUUUUUUAACCCAAACGGCAUAACAUUAAACUGAAACAAUCCUGAUGGAGUUGUGAAAGCAGUUUUUGGUUUACUUUCUUGAUCCAUGUUCACCUGCCAGUAGCCACUGUUAAGGUCAAUCGUGGAAAAGAUGGCGGCUCCAGAUAGUGACUCUAAGAUCUCAGUGAUGUUGGGUAAAGGGGACCAAGACGACAGGUGAGGCCCAUCCAGAAUGUGAUGGUUCUACGAUGCCGGCAGUCAACAUCUCUUCCAGUUGCUCUGUAAUGACAGCUUGUUUGGCAGGUGUUGUACGGUACGGUCUUUGUUUUAUAGGCACUUGGUGGGUAGUAUAUAUGUGAUGCUGUGUAACUUCGGUACGUCCCAGGCGAAGGGUACAAACUUGAGGGUUUGACUCGAGGAUCUGCAGUAACUGUUGCUUUCCUUCCGGAGGUAAGUGGGCAUGCUGUACAGCAGUGUCAAUUAAUGUCUUGUCAUCCAGAUAGGCUGGUUGAACCAUGUUAAGUUGAGGAGGAGGAACAGAAGAUAGUAGAGAGAGACUGUUGGAGUUUUUACUUCCAAUCUUUCCCUUUGGAUGUUGGGAGCUGAUAACUGGUACACUGGCAUUUGUUGGCUGGAAAGGAUAAUACUCUUUAGGAUUGGACUGAAAUGAAUACUUUUGAUCUGCAACAUUGAUCUGCAGCCCACUGGAAAAGAUAAGGUCCAGUCCUAACACGACUGCAUAGGCCAGGGCUUUGGCUGAUAGAACCACAGCAGAUAUGGUGAAUAUUUUUUUAUGUAGGGUAAUUGGCAGGUUUACCCAACCUAAAGGAAUUUCUGCUUCCCCAUUGGCGAGGUAGAGUGGACCCUGGGUCCAUGGAUUGAGUUUUUGUGAAGAGAGUUCCUUCCAGAGAUUCUCAUGUAGAAGGGUGUAGCUAGCCCCAGUAUCAACAAUGGCUUUUCCCUUCCAGGUACCAAUACAGAGUGGUAUCACUAACUGUUGUGGAACAAUUUCAGUAGGUGGUGUUUUCUUACCAGUUGUGGGUGACUUCUGAAGAAAGGUGGCAGACACAGAGCGAUUGCCAGGUGGACCAGUACCUUUAGAAGCUGGAAAUGUUGUCCGCUUGCUAUUAGAGGAAAGGUGUUUGCUGGUGGACUGAGGUGACUGGGACUGAGAAGAGACAAAGUGAGGACAGUGGCCAGGGGAGUGAUGGCCUUUACAUCGCCAGCAUUGCACUAAAGGCUUCUCUGCCGGGUGGUUGGCAAUAGGUCUUUGAGGCAUGGAUAAGGGUUGCUUAGAACUCACACGUUUUUCAUAUUGCAGUUGUUGUUCGUAGUCUUUUUCCAGCUGUUGGCCCAAUUUCACAAGUUCAUCGACUGUGUUCACCCGACUGCGAAUCUGGCUUGCAAGAUAGGGGUUCAUAUUUUUUAAAAUCAUUUUCACCAAUUCACUGUCCAUCAAGGAGGGCUUCCACCUUUUGCAGAGAGCUCUGUAUGUAAAUGCAAAGUCUCUAAUGCUCUCUCUUUCUCCCUGUGUUCGUGUCCUUACCCGUUCAGCCAACUCAUCUUCAUAAUCCUCUGAGAGGAAAGCAGAGAGGAAAGCAGCUUCAAAUUCUUCCCACGUGGUUAUUGAGGAUCGUGCAACUUCCCACCAGUCCCGGGCAGUACCGUAAAGGACAGUGCGGAAAGUGGCCAGAAUGUCAGCAUCAGUAAGAGGAUGUAACGCUAAGAAAUCCUGACAUCGAGUUAGAUAGAGCAAGGGGUCCAUGUCAUCUGACUGUCUCCCAAAAGUAGGAAAUGUAAUCUUAAGAUGAUCACUCUUUACAACAGGAGCAGGAAGCAAAGGAGCGGUCACUGGUGAUACAGCUGAAACUGGAGCGUUAAGAGGCAAAGGUGAGUAAUCUCUUGUCUGCAGGUCAGUCAUUUGUUUCUCUUGCUUUUCGAGUCUUCUAUCAAGUUCAGUUUGUAAGCGCUUUACAGUUGCACACAAUGUGUUUGUGAUUUGGGUACACUGGGUGAGCUCUGUAGAUAACUGAUCAUGAUUUCUUUGAUGGGUUACCAGGUAGGAUUUGAGGUCUUGCUGAAACUCCACUUGAAGUUGGUCGAUCAUAAACCGCACUUCAGACACAUAUGUAGUCUCAGCUCUGUGAAG